ACCGUGAAAAAAUUAGAGUGUUCAAAGCAGGCAGAUCCAAUUUUCUGCCACCGAAUACAUUAGCAUGGGAUAAUGGAAUAGGACCCUGUCCUCCUAUUUUCAGUUGGUUUUGGCAGCGCGAGGACUAGGGUAAUGAUUAAUAGGGAUAGUUGGGGGCAUUAAUAUUUAAUUGUCAGAGGUGAAAUUCUUGGAUUUAUGAAAGAUUAACUUCUGCGAAAGCAUCUGCCAAGGAUGUUUUCAUUAAUCAAGAACGAAAGUUAGGGGAUCGAAGACGAUCAGAUACCGUCGUAGUCUUAACCAUAAACGAUGCCGACCAGCGAUUAGGAGACGUUGAAUACAAAACACCACCAUCGGCGCGGUCGUCCUUGGCGUCGGUCCUUCACGGGGCCGGCGCGAGGGCGGCUAGCCCG
rnacentral:rRNA from 1 species